AAUGGACAGUGCAACAACACUUGUAAAACAGAUACUGCAAACAACUCGCAAAGUAACCCUAUGUAUUGAUGGAUGGAGCAAGAAAGGUCUGACAGCCUCCUACAUGGGAAUUUCUGCCUGCUUCUACAAUCCAUCUGCAAAAGAAGCUCAACAUGUUUUUAUCAACCUACAUCGAAUUUCUCACCCACAUACAGGAGAGGUGAUUGCUAAAUGUAUUGAACACACACUCACUACCUGGGACAUUACAGAAGAAAAUGUACUACUGAUCGUCACAGAUAAUGGCGCCAACAUUGUGAAAGCCAUUAAGAUACUGGCGCAAAGUGGCAAGGUUUGUGAGGCUACUGAAAAAGCAGUGGAAUAUGCUGAAAACUCUGAAGACGAGCCUGAUGACAUCGAUGCAAGCAGCGCGGAUCAAGGCUCUGAUACCAGUGUGGAUUCAGCUGAAGAAGACUUAUUUCAAGAUGCUGAUCUGUCUAAGUACACAAGGAUGCCAUGUCUGGCACAUACCCUGCAGCUCACUCUGAAGGAUGCCUUCAAAUAUCCCAGUACUGGAAAUGUAAUUAGCAGAGCUAGAAGCCUGGUGAAUACUGUACGUAAAUCUUCAGUGGCCACUGAAAAAAUGAUUUCUAAGUGUGGCAAAACACAAAUUAAAGACUGCGUGACACGUUGGAAUAGUACUCUGAACAUGAUGAAGAGACUUCUGGAGACCAAGAUUGUUUUGAACCAAGUUCUUGCUCACCAGUGAUUGGUCCAAACUGGAGCAACUUGUGAAGUUGUUUGAACCAUUUGCAGUACAUACAGAUCAGCUCCAGACUGAUAGCCAGUCUCUGUCUGAAGUUGUGCCCUGCCUAUUGAAUCUAGAAGCACACUUACAGUCAUCAGUCAUCUCAAAACCACUUGAUCAGAUUAUGCUGAAGUCACUUCGUGAACGCUUUGCUUGUUUACUGAACCCUCAAGCAGCAGAUUUUGAUGCCACACCUGCAGCAGCUUGCCUGAUGGACCCAACUGCUGCCUUUGCACUUUUCACAACAGAGAUGGAAAGCCUCAUGAAAGCAGCCAGGUCUUGUGUCCUUCAGCAUGCUGCACACUACAGCAGUCCUUCAGUGUCACAACAACAAAAGUCCAGUGUCAACCCCCAAUGCCCUACCAGUGCUAGUGCUGAAGGAACUGUGUUAAAGAGGUUCAAGUUUUUGGCUUGCAAGAUUGGGGCUGAACUCACUCCAACAUCUGGCAAUACCACUGGCAAUGCAGGAAGUGCACAUACUGAACUUUCCACAUAUAUCUCCGAACUGAAGCAAGGCAAAGUAUGCUGUGAGACUGAGACUCCUUUGAAAUUUUGGCAAAAUAAGGAGAUUGUGUAUCCAAGGCUUGCACCAGUUGCUGAAGAUUUUCUUGCAGCCCCUGCAUCCCAAGCAUUUGUAAAGAGGAUUUUCUCUGUGUGUGGACAGCUAUCAUCUGGACGAAGGAAUUGGAUGGAUACAUCUCUGGAACAAAGAGUGUUUCUGAAGAUGAAUCAGAAACUGUUGCUUUCUAACAGCACUAACAACUAGGGACAAUAUUUUGGAGCACUUCACUUAACACCUGUACAGGGCCCACGAUUGGUUUAGAGUGAAAACUGAAACUGAAACUGAAAUUAUCACAAAACGAAAAUUGAAAUAGAAAUGAUCGUUAAAACGAAAAUUGAAAUAGAAAUGGUUAAGAACAUCCUUAUCAAAACUGAAACUGCAACUGAAAUUGAGGGAAAGAAAAAAAUAGAAUUGAAAUAGAAACUUAAAUAAAAGUUACAACUGAAAUAAAACUGAUAUCCACACCCCACAGCAGAAAAGAGACACAAUUCAGUUAUGAGAAAUGCCUGAAGUGUUGUUUUUGUUUCUUAAUUAAUAUUUUGCAUUUUCUGGUUACUAUCAUGCGGUUUAUAUCUGUGUUUAUAUAGUGCUAUGGAUGUCAGGGUGGUAUCGCACUGUAUCACCACCAGGACUACCAAACAAUUGAAUAAUACAGAAUGGACCACUAGCCCUUUGAACAACAAAACCAAAACUAGCUCCGCUGGAGCCCGAGGGCUCUAGUCUGAUGAAACGAGUGCAAUCGCAGACACAGUGGUUAAAGUCAAACGCGUCUGCCCCGUAGGGCGUGGCUUCUCAAAAGUGCGAUUCUGAUCAAAAUAAAAACCCAGCGCAAGCAUGUUUAGUGGCGCAGUGACAGCGCCCAGCCAAUCAAUGCUGAGUAUGUUGGGGAAUCUGCUAUCCAAUCAGGGCAAGGCAAAAUCCCGGCACCGCAAGGCUCCGUUUUGAAUGUAAAAGAGCUGAUAAUGUCGAGCGGCAGUAGCACAGCGCAAGAAAAACAGUGCAAACACUAGGUCACUCGCCGAGAGAAUACGUAAACCAUGCUUCACGACACAGGAGAUUGCUAUAUUAAUAGAAGAGGUAUUGGCACAUAGGGCAAUCAUUUAUUAUUUAUAAUAAUUAUAGAAGUUACAUUAUUUAAUUGCAUUGAUUUUACUACAUGUAAAAUGUAAAAUACUUCCUACCCGCCCUGAUCUGUCUACCAGUAGCAGCAGCUGAUUCAUUUUCUAGCGGGACAUGAUGUGCCGCAUCACGUUCCCUCUGAGCUUGUAAUGUACUAGAGUUUCAAUAUAACCAGGGCUUUAAUUCUCAUGGAGUAUUUCCCAGAGCCCAAGCAUCCCCGUCCCCCCCUCCCGCGUUUGCGAAAAGAUUAUGUAAAGAAUACAAGUACAGCUAACUUAUUAUUACUGUUAGGCCCUAACAUUUAUUAGCAAAAUAAAUCAAAACGUUUUAGUAAUUAAAAUUAACCUAGUUAUCUGCAGUAUGUGUUAAUCCUGAUCGUGCUGUUUGUUCAGUUACUUGUUCAUAGUGUGUG